CGGCCCCAAGCCCCCUCUCUCCCUCCUCCGGCUUGCCGCUACCGGCCCCUGCUCGCUCCCGCGGGCGCCAGGCACCUCGCGCAGCCACUCCGUGCUGGCCUCCACCUCAACCGCAGCCCCCUCCUCCUCACGCACCCACCUCCACCUCCACCUCCAGCCGCAACCCCCCUCCUCCUCUCCGCAGCCCCCUCCUCGCUCACUACCUCCUCCAGCCGUAGCCCCCUUCUCGCUCGCUACCUCAAGCCGCAGCCCCUCUCCUCACUCGCCACCUCCAGCGGCCGCCUCCCCUCCCUCCAUCUCCGGCCGGCGCCCCCUCCCCUCCCUCCGCCCCCCGCCACCGCAGGCCCGACGCCGCCGCUGUCAGAUCCGGCAUCUACCUGGCCGGAUCUACGAGGGCUCCACCAGGAGUAGAAACAGCGGCCAGGGCGAGGUGAGAAAUGGUGGGGACGGCUGACGGUGGCGUGGAGGAGGCGGUGCGGCAGUGGGUGGAGGCCGGCAGCGAGCGUCUCGUGCUGGAUGGCGGGCUGGCCAUGGAGCUCGAGGCCAACGGCGCCGACCUCAACGGCCCUUUAUGGUUUUUGGAUAUUAUUCUUGCAGGCCCUAAUCAUUUCACUACCUUUUCUCUUGAUUAAAUCUCAGUCAAACAGCAUAAUGCUUCUGGCACAAGCACUAAUAAAAUGCCAAAUGCAAACCUGUAGGUGCAAAAGAUUCAAGCGUUGACUCCAAAUAUUGGAGUUGUUUACAGGUACUUCCCUAUGCUAUUUGGACCUCUUGGUUGCUUUGCUUUCAAAUCUUACUUUUAUGGAUGCUGAUGAAAGUCGUACUCUAUACAUUUACCUCACAUAUUUGAACUUAAUAAUGUAUGAGGUCACAUAUCAUAAUAUGUCGACAUGGCUGAUCUAGGUUUCAAUGUUAUUAGCUUCUUAGCUGUCACAUCUGCUUGACAUUUUUCUCACUAAUGGGAUGAUGUAAGAAAACUAGAAUGGCACUAUGAUUACAUGAAGAGAAUUACAUGUUGAAACUAACGAUAUGUGUAUUACUGACCAUUCACCCAUGAUCGUGAACUCUCACUAUUUUUUGUUACAUUCCCAUGUGCUUACCUUGUAUUAUUUUUCAGCGGGAUGGGUCCAGAUUUCCGCUUUCUAGUGAGGAAAAGCCGGAAGCAAGCACAGCAGUAUUAUCGAUUGUAUAAGGAAACCAUACCUGUUACACAGCUUGUCAGAGAAACUGCUGCUGUUAUGCAGGAGUUCACACAGUCUAGGUAUGUUAAACUAUGAACUAGCUAUGUGGAUGAAUGGACAAGAGUUACUUUCAUAUGUCGAAUAUUCUAUUUUAUCA